rnacentral:tRNA from 1 species
AAGAUUUUAAGUUAAGUUAAACUAUUAACCUUCAAAGUUAAAAAUAAAGUUUAUUUUUAAGUCUUA